ACGUAGGGGGCAAGCGUUAUCCGGAUUUACUGGGUGUAAAGGGAGCGUAGACGGUUUUGCAAGUCUGAAGUGAAAGCCCGGGGCUUAACCUCGGGACUGCUUUGGAAACUGUAGGACUAGAGUGCAGGAGAGGUAAGUGGAAUUCCUAGUGUAGCGGUGAAAUGCGUAGAUAUUAGGAGGAACACCAGUGGCGAAGGCGGCUUACUGGACUGUAACUGACGUUGAGGCUCGAAAGCGUGGGGAGCAAACAG
rnacentral:rRNA from 1 species